GGACUACUAGGGUUUCUAAUCCCGUUUGCUCCCCUGGCUUUCGCGCCUCAGCGUCAGAAGAGGUCCAGCAUGCCGCCUUCGCCACCGGAGUUCCUAACGAUAUCAACGCAUUUCACCGCUCCACCGUUAGUUCCGCAUGCCCCUACCUCCCUCGAGACACCCAGUAUCCAAGGCAAUUCGACAGUUAAGCUGCCGGAUUUCACCACAGACUUUGAUGCCCGCCUACGCGCCCUUUAAGCCCAGUGAUUCCGAACAACGUUCGCUCGGUUCGUCUUACCGCGGCUGCUGGCAC
rnacentral:rRNA from 1 species